GAAUUGCAUUCGAUACUGGGAGGCUAGAGUUUGGUAGAGGUAAGUGGAAUUCCAGGUGUAGCGGUGAAAUGCGUAGAUAUCUGGAGGAACAUCAGUGGCGAAGGCGGCUUACUGGACCAAAACUGACGCUGAGGUACGAAAGCGUGGGUAGCAAACAGGAUUAGAUACCCUGGUAGUCCACGCCCUAAACGAUGGGAACUAGUUGUUGGGAGCCCUUAAUAGCUCUUAGUAACGAAGCUAACGCGUUAAGUUCUCCGCCUGGGGAGUACGGCCGCAACGUUGAAACUCAAAGGAAUUGACGGGGGCCCGCACAAGCGGUGGAGCAUGUGGUUUAAUUCGAUGCAACGCGAAGAACCUUACCAGCCCUUGACAUCCUCGGAAC
rnacentral:rRNA from 1 species